rnacentral:rRNA from 1 species
AACGAACGCUGGCGGCAUGCUUUACACAUGCAAGUCGAACGGCAGCACAGGAGAGCUUGCUCUCUGGGUGGCGAGUGGCGGACGGGUGAGGAAUACAUCGGAAUCUACCUUUUCGUGGGGGAUAACGUAGGGAAACUUACACUAAUACCGCAUACGACCUACGGGUGAAAGUGGGGGACCGCAAGGCCUCACGCGAUUAGAUGAGCCGAUGUCCGAUUAGCUAGUUGGCGGGGUAAUGGCCCACCAAGGCGACGAUCGGUAGCUGGUCUGAGAGGAUGAUCAGCCACACUGGAACUGAGACACGGUCCAGACUCCUACGGGAGUAAGCAGUGGGGAAUAUUGGACAAUGGGCGCAAGCCUGAUCCAGCCAUACCGCGUGGGUGAAGAAGGCCUUCGGGUUGUAAAGCCCUUUUGUUGGGAAAGAAAUCCUGUCGAUUAAUACUCGGUGGGGAUGACGGUACCCAAAGAAUAAGCACCGGCUAACUUCGUGCCAGCCGCCGCGGUAAGAC